rnacentral:rRNA from 1 species
UUAAGCGACUAAGCGUACACGGUGGAUGCCCUGGCAGUCAGAGGCGAUGAAGGACGUGCUAAUCUGCGAUAAGCGUCGGUAAGGUGAUAUGAACCGUUAUAACCGGCGAUUUCCGAAUGGGGAAACCCAGUGUGAUUCGUCACACUAUCAUUAACUGAAUCCAUAGGUUAAUGAGGCGAACCGGGGGAACUGAAACAUCUAAGUACCCCGAGGAAAAGAAAUCAACCGAGAUUCCCCCAGUAGCGGCGAGCGAACGGGGAGCAGCCCAGAGCCUGAAUCAGUGUGUGUGUUAGUGGAAGCGUCUGGAAAGGCGCGCGAUACAGGGUGACAGCCCCGUACACAAAAAUGCACAUGCUGUGAGCUCGAUGAGUAGGGCGGGACACGUGGUAUCCUGUCUGAAUAUGGGGGGACCAUCCUCCAAGGCUAAAUACUCCUGACUGACCGAUAGUGAACCAGUACCGUGAGGGAAAGGCGAAAAGAACCCCGGCGAGGGGAGUGAAAAAGAACCUGAAACCGUGUACGUACAAGCAGUGGGAGCACGCUUAGGCGUGUGACUGCGUACCUUUUGUAUAAUGGGUCAGCGACUUAUAUUCUGUAGCAAGGUUAACCGAAUAGGGGAGCCGAAGGGAAACCGAGUCUUAACUGGGCGUUAAGUUGCAGGGUAUAGACCCGAAACCCGGUGAUCUAGCCAUGGGCAGGUUGAAGGUUGGGUAACACUAACUGGAGGACCGAACCGACUAAUGUUGAAAAAUUAGCGGAUGACUUGUGGCUGGGGGUGAAAGGCCAAUCAAACCGGGAGAUAGCUGGUUCUCCCCGAAAGCUAUUUAGGUAGCGCCUCGUGAAUUCAUCUCCGGGGGUAGAGCACUGUUUCGGCAAGGGGGUCAUCCCGACUUACCAACCCGAUGCAAACUGCGAAUACCGGAGAAUGUUAUCACGGGAGACACACGGCGGGUGCUAACGUCCGUCGUGAAGAGGGAAACAACCCAGACCGCCAGCUAAGGUCCCAAAGUCAUGGUUAAGUGGGAAACGAUGUGGGAAGGCCCAGACAGCCAGGAUGUUGGCUUAGAAGCAGCCAUCAUUUAAAGAAAGCGUAAUAGCUCACUGGUCGAGUCGGCCUGCGCGGAAGAUGUAACGGGGCUAAACCAUGCACCGAAGCUGCGGCAACGACGCUUAUGCGUUGUUGGGUAGGGGAGCGUUCUGUAAGCCUGUGAAGGUGUACUGUGAGGUAUGCUGGAGGUAUCAGAAGUGCGAAUGCUGACAUAAGUAACGAUAAAGCGGGUGAAAAGCCCGCUCGCCGGAAGACCAAGGGUUCCUGUCCAACGUUAAUCGGGGCAGGGUGAGUCGACCCCUAAGGCGAGGCCGAAAGGCGUAGUCGAUGGGAAACAGGUUAAUAUUCCUGUACUUGGUGUUACUGCGAAGGGGGGACGGAGAAGGCUAUGUUGGCCGGGCGACGGUUGUCCCGGUUUAAGCGUGUAGGCUGGUUUUCCAGGCAAAUCCGGAAAAUCAAGGCUGAGGCGUGAUGACGAGGCACUACGGUGCUGAAGCAACAAAUGCCCUGCUUCCAGGAAAAGCCUCUAAGCAUCAGGUAACAUCAAAUCGUACCCCAAACCGACACAGGUGGUCAGGUAGAGAAUACCAAGGCGCUUGAGAGAACUCGGGUGAAGGAACUAGGCAAAAUGGUGCCGUAACUUCGGGAGAAGGCACGCUGAUAUGUAGGUGAAGUCCCUCGCGGAUGGAGCUGAAAUCAGUCGAAGAUACCAGCUGGCUGCAACUGUUUAUUAAAAACACAGCACUGUGCAAACACGAAAGUGGACGUAUACGGUGUGACGCCUGCCCGGUGCCGGAAGGUUAAUUGAUGGGGUUAGCGCAAGCGAAGCUCUUGAUCGAAGCCCCGGUAAACGGCGGCCGUAACUAUAACGGUCCUAAGGUAGCGAAAUUCCUUGUCGGGUAAGUUCCGACCUGCACGAAUGGCGUAAUGAUGGCCAGGCUGUCUCCACCCGAGACUCAGUGAAAUUGAACUCGCUGUGAAGAUGCAGUGUACCCGCGGCAAGACGGAAAGACCCCGUGAACCUUUACUAUAGCUUGACACUGAACAUUGAGCCUUGAUGUGUAGGAUAGGUGGGAGGCUUUGAAGUGUGGACGCCAGUCUGCAUGGAGCCGACCUUGAAAUACCACCCUUUAAUGUUUGAUGUUCUAACGUUGACCCGUAAUCCGGGUUGCGGACAGUGUCUGGUGGGUAGUUUGACUGGGGCGGUCUCCUCCUAAAGAGUAACGGAGGAGCACGAAGGUUGGCUAAUCCUGGUCGGACAUCAGGAGGUUAGUGCAAUGGCAUAAGCCAGCUUGACUGCGAGCGUGACGGCGCGAGCAGGUGCGAAAGCAGGUCAUAGUGAUCCGGUGGUUCUGAAUGGAAGGGCCAUCGCUCAACGGAUAAAAGGUACUCCGGGGAUAACAGGCUGAUACCGCCCAAGAGUUCAUAUCGACGGCGGUGUUUGGCACCUCGAUGUCGGCUCAUCACAUCCUGGGGCUGAAGUAGGUCCCAAGGGUAUGGCUGUUCGCCAUUUAAAGUGGUACGCGAGCUGGGUUUAGAACGUCGUGAGACAGUUCGGUCCCUAUCUGCCGUGGGCGCUGGAGAACUGAGGGGGGCUGCUCCUAGUACGAGAGGACCGGAGUGGACGCAUCACUGGUGUUCGGGUUGUCAUGCCAAUGGCACUGCCCGGUAGCUAAAUGCGGAAGAGAUAAGUGCUGAAAGCAUCUAAGCACGAAACUUGCCCCGAGAUGAGUUCUCCCUGACUCCUUGAGAGUCCUGAAGGAACGUUGAAGACGACGACGUUGAUAGGCCGGAUGUGUAAGCGCAGCGAUGCGUUGAGCUAACCGGUACUAAUGAACCGUGAGGCUUAACCUU